UAUGAAAGCUUCUGAUCAUCUGGAUCACCGAAGUCAAGCAACAUCGAGCCUGGUCAGUACUAAGAUGGGUGACUGCUUGGUAAUACCAGAUACUGUAA